rnacentral:snRNA from 1 species
GGGCAGGAGGGCGAUAUUGAUGGGACAUCUGCAAACCUGUUGAUCUCCAAGAUUGAUUCGGCUGAUGUGGCUGGCUGGGCCGGCGUCCCCUUCCGCUCUCCCCACUGUAUGUGCGUGCCUCCGGAAGCUGUGUGCCCAGUGGGGAGGACGACCAUCCCUGCUAGAGGAGGACUGGUCUUUGGUUCUUUGGUCAAGGAUAUACAAGCAGCCGCUUUCCUCCAAACAGGCUCUCAAGAAACGGUGUGACUCUCGUUACCAAACAUUCAUU